rnacentral:tRNA from 1 species
UUUUCUGUGGCUCACUUGGUAGAGCAUUGCGCUAACAACACAAAGGUUGAGAGUUCAUAUCCCCGGGAAAG